rnacentral:rRNA from 1 species
UCGAACGGUUAAAGCACCUUCGGGUGUGUAUAGAGUGGCGAACGGCUGAGUAACACGUGGGCAACCUGCCCUUUGCAUCGGGACAGCCUCGGGAAACCGUGGUUAAUACCGGAUACUCCAUCUUUCUCACAUGAAAAAGAUGGGAAAGUGUUUAGCGGCAAGGGAUGGGCCCGCGCCCUGUUAGCUUGUUGGUGGGGUAAAAGCCUACCAAGGCAAUGAUGGGUAGCCGGGUUGAGAGACCGACCGGCCAGAUUGGGACUGAGACACGGCCCAGACUCCUACGGGAGGCAGCAGUGGGGAAUCUUGCACAAUGGGCGAAAGCCUGAUGCAGCGACGCCGCGUGCGGGAUGAAGGCCUUCGGGUUGUAAACCGCUUUCAGCAGGGACGAGGCGAAAGUGACGGUACCUGUAGAAGAAGCCCCGGCUAACUACGUGCCAGCAGCCGCGGUAAUACGUAGGGGGCAAGCGUUAUCCGGAUUCAUUGGGCGUAAAGCGCGCGUAGGCUGCCCAGUAGGUCGAGAGUUAAAUCCGGGGGCUCAACCCCCGUCCGCUCCCGAUACCGCUGGGCUUCGAGUCUGGUAGGGGAAAGGUGGAAUUCCCAGUGUAGCGGUGGAAUGCGCAGAUAUUGGGAAGAACACCGGUGGCGAAGGCGGCCUUCUGGGCCAUGACUGACGCUGAGGCGCGAAAGCUAGGGUAGCGAACAGGAUU